ensembl:misc_RNA Metazoa_SRP Metazoan signal recognition particle RNA
GCCGGGCACGGUGGCGGGUGCCUGUAAUCCCAGCUACUCGGGAGGCUGAGGCAGGAGAAUUGCUUGAACCCGGGAGGCAGAGGUUGCAGUGAGCCGAGAUAGCGCCACUGCACUUUACCCUGGAUGACAGAGCAAGACUCUAUCUCAA